UCAUAUUGAAAUACCGGUUCCCAUAAGAUUACCAAAGUUAAGCAACAUUGAGCAUUGUUAGUGCCUGAAUGGGUGGCCACUUGGAAUACCAGGUGUUGCAAGC